rfam:Treponema maltophilum ATCC 51939 genomic scaffold aczIZ-supercont-complete, whole genome shotgun sequence.
GUUAAACGCCGAGUUUGCGCAAGCGCAAACAUCGCUUAUAAUAUGCUGUUUCUCACUCCGUUACGAAACAGUGAAUUCGACAAUCUUCAAGAUUUGAUAAUCUUUUCGUUUGUCGAAUUUUAAA